GCUUGUCUCAAAGAUUAAGCCAUGCAGGUGUAUGUAUACACAACUUUAUACUGUGAAACUGCGAAUGGCUCAUUAAAUCAGUUACAGUUUAUUUGAUAGUACCUUACUACUUGGAUAACCGUAGUAAUUCUAGAGCUAAUACAUGCGUCAAAACCCAACUUCUGGGAGGGUUGUAUUUAUUAGAUGGAAACCAAUGCGGGGCAACCCGGUAUAUGGUGAUUCAUAAUAACUUUCGGAUCGAUCUUCGGAUCGAUGCAUCAUUCAAGUUUCUGCCCUAUCAGCUUUGGAUGGUAGGGUAUUGGCCUACCAUGGCUUUAACGGGUAACGGAGAAUUAGGGUUCGAUUCCGGAGAGGGAGCCUGAGAAAUGGCUACCACAUCCAAGGAAGGCAGCAGG
rnacentral:rRNA from 1 species